rnacentral:rRNA from 1 species
AACGCGAAGAACCUUACCAGGGCUUGACAUCCUGCGAACCUCUGGGAAACCGGAGGGUGCCUUCGGGAACGCAGAGACAGGUGGUGCAUGGCUGUCGUCAGCUCGUGUCGUGAGAUGUUGGGUUAAGUCCCGCAACGAGCGCAACCCACGUCUUUAGUUGCCAGCAUUCAGUUGGGCACUCUAGAGAGACCGCCGGUGACAAACCGGAGGAAGGUGUGGAUGACGUCAAGUCCUCAUGGCCCUUACGGGUAGGGCUACACACGUGCUACAAUGGCAGUGACAAUGGGAUAAUCCCAAAAAGCUGUCUCAGUUCAGAUUGUCCUCUGCAACUCGAGGGCAUGAAGGUGGAAUCGCUAGUAAUCGUGGAUCAGCAUGCCACGGUGAAUACUUCCCGGGUUCUUGUACACACCGAAUCUAGAGCAUU